rnacentral:rRNA from 2 species
GUUAUAGGAUCAAGCGAAUAAGUGCAUGUGGUGGAUGCCUUGGCGAUCACAGGCGAUGAAGGACGUGUAAGCCUGCGAAAAGCUGCGGGGAGCUGGCAAUAGAGCUUUGAUCCGCAGAUGUCCGAAUGGGGAAACCCGGCCCUUUUAGGGUCAUCCCGUGCUGAAUACAUAGGCACGUGGAGGCGAACGCGGCGAACUGAAACAUCUAAGUAGCCGCAGGAAAAGAAAUCAACCGAGAUUCCCAAAGUAGUGGCGAGCGAAAUGGGACCAGCCUGUACGACUAAACCAGAGAUUCAACAAAACGGGAUGGAAAGCCCGGCCAUAGAAGGUGAUAGCCCUGUAUGUGAAGUGUUUCUGGCGGGUCUGAGCGUACGACAAGUAGGGCGGGACACGUGGAAUCCUGUCUGAAUAUGGGGGGACCAUCCUCCAAGGCUAAAUACUCGUGAUCGACCGAUAGUGAACCAGUACCGUGAGGGAAAGGCGAAAAGAACCCCGGGAGGGGAGUGAAAUAGAUCCUGAAACCGCAUGCAUACAAACAGUGGGAGCCUCCUUGAGGGGUGACUGCGUACCUUUUGUAUAAUGGGUCAGCGACUUACGUUCAGUGGCGAGCUUAACCGAAUAGGGGAGGCGUAGCGAAAGCGAGUCUGAUAAGGGCGACUUAGUCGCUGGGCGUAGACCCGAAACCGGAUGAUCUAUCCAUGGCCAGGAUGAAGGUGCCGUAACAGGUACUGGAGGUCCGAACCCACUAACGUUGAAAAGUUAGGGGAUGAGCUGUGGAUAGGGGUGAAAGGCCAAACAAAUCCGGAAAUAGCUGGUUCUCCCCGAAAACUAUUUAGGUAGUGCGUCGUACGGACACUUCCGGGGGUAGAGCACUGUCAUCGUUGGGGGGGUCAUUGCGAUUUACCCCGCGAUAGCAAACUCCGAAUACCGGAAAGUGAUAUACGGCAGACAGACAUCGGGUGCUAACGUCCGGUGUCAAGAGGGAAACAACCCAGACCGCCAGCUAAGGUCCCAAAUACAUGGCUAAGUGGUAAACGAAGUGGGAAGGCACAGACAGCUAGGAGGUUGGCUUAGAAGCAGCCACCCUUUAAAGAAAGCGUAAUAGCUCACUAGUCGAGUCGUCCUGCGCGGAAGAUGUAACGGGGCUCAAGCCAUGAACCGAAGCUGCGGAUGCGUAUUUAUACGCAUGGUAGGGGAGCGUUCUGUAAGCCUGCGAAGGUGUCUCGUAAGGGAUGCUGGAGGUAUCAGAAGUGCGAAUGCUGACAUGAGUAGCGAUAAAGGGAGUGAAAAGCUCCCUCGCCGAAAACCCAAGGUUUCCUGCGCAACGUUCAUCGGCGCAGGGUGAGUCGGCCCCUAAGGCGAGGCAGAAAUGCGUAGUCGAUGGGAAACAGGUCAAUAUUCCUGUACCACUCUUUAAUGCGAUGGGGGGACGGAGAAGGUUAGAUCAGCCGGGCGUUGGAUAUCCCGGUUUAAGCGUGUAGUCGUGCCCGGUAGGCAAAUCCGCCGGGCUUAGACGAGGCGUGAUGACGAGGGCUCAUUGAGCCUGAAGUGAUUAAUACCAUGCUUCCAGGAAAAGCCUCUAAGCUUCAGUUAAAGAGUGACCGUACCGCAAACCGACACAGGUGGGUAGGUAGAAAAUACCAAGGCGCUUGAGAGAACUCAGGAGAAGGAACUCGGCAAAUUGACACCGUAACUUCGGGAGAAGGUGUGCCUCUUGUAUGUGAAGCCCCUGCGGGCGGAGCAGAAGGAGGUCUCAGAGAAUCGGUGGCUGCGACUGUUUAUUAAAAACACAGCACUCUGCAAACACGAAAGUGGACGUAUAGGGUGUGACGCCUGCCCGGUGCCGGAAGGUUAAGUGAUGGGGUGCAAGCUCUUGAUCGAAGCCCCGGUAAACG